AGUUGUGAUAUUGUUAAUUGAUGCAUCAAGAACUACUGUGCUUGAAGCCCCUGCAAGCCAAGCCUUCCCCAUCAGAAUUAGGUACUGAUUUUGCUAGUGGGAUCUCACAGACCACCCAGGUUGGUUUGUAAAAGAUUUCUUAUUUACGAGAACAAGAUAUCUCCCAUUAACGAAACUGCAGUAAAAAUAUAUAGAAAAUGCAUUAUAGAGAGCAUAAAAUGAUAAUUUUAUACACACACACACAGAGUUCAAUUCUCAAGUGUCAAUUAAUACUCUCAAAUUAAAUGAACAUUAGGUAGGAGUUUAAAGAGGAAAUGGUACCUGUAAUACUGAUAGUUGUCAAAGUCGUCAUACCUAAACCCAGCGACCUGUCAAUCGACAAUUUUAACAUUAUUUACAGCAGUUCAUGAUACGCAACUCAACUGGCUUUAUUGUUUUACAGAUUUAGAUAUAUAUAUAUCAAUAACAGAGUAAUUUAAUUUGAUACUGUACAUUGUUGAGGUUCUUCUAACCAAAAACAACAAUUUGGCUUUAAAUGUUGCCAUAAAGAGAGGAUCUAAUUGUGAAAUGCAACGGGAAGUACUUAGAUAAUAAGCAAGGGGUAUGAGAACAAGGGGGCAGUUGUGACAAAGAAGAUGGAGGAGGAGAUGAACUUAUUCAAGGGAUAUAAUUAAUGAUAGUAGCUGCAAGUGGUGCUUAAUAAUUGUGAUUUAUGGGUGUUUUCGAUACCGCAUAUUAUAUUUUUCCAUCUCUUUACCAACGAAGUGUUAGGCUCCACUGGCAAUGGAGUCUCCUUAAGUGGCUUGAUUGAGUUUGUUUUCCAAUUUGAAUCGCAGGGAAGUCGUUUUUGUUGAGAGAACUUGUGCGAAUCUG
rnacentral:lncRNA from 1 species